UGAUGUAAAGAUCACAUGAGCGUGAUCUGCGCGUCCAUAAUGCACUCUCAUCGGACACAUACGAAAGAGGGGAUGGAACUCGUAGCUGUGAACUGAGAACCCGCUGUUCAAGGUGGUGUGGGUGCACGGCAUCGAGGGAUUUCAAGAUAUGCUGCAAUGUAUUAUCCAAAGCGAGAGACUGCAGAAGCCAUCAUGCGGGCGAAACUGGUGGCGUGCAUGGGAAGCGGUGAUGAAGAGCGCAGUGAUGAUCCCUGUACUGAUUGGAGGCCCCGUGUGUGGAAACGAUCACAGACUGUAUAUUUUUAAUAUCCCUCCGCCGUCGGGAGGCAACGCUAUCCAACCCACGCAACGGCAACACAAUGGCAGAAAGAAGCCUUAUGUAACUCUCCGGCCUGGAGGCGGCGCAACUGGAGUAGGAUAUUAUUAUUAUUUUUUUGUCAUCUUAACUGCUAAUCAAGCCCUAAUUUUAUUGCAAGCAUCUGACCUCACCGAUUGUUUUAGGCUUUACCGCCCAUUAGAAAUGACGCCACUUCAGAUACAGGCAAAAUGGGUCAUACUGUAUUUGUCGUGUGAAGCACAAACACAGUGAAACAACACAAUGCGCUCACUUGCUGACAUUGGCAGUGCUGGACAAAUGAUUGAUAUUUAACAGAAAUCACGUACCGGAAGACAUUAUGCUUUUUUUAUUUCAGAAGUUAAAAAGGUCUGGGACAUGCCUUUUGUGAAAAUAUCCCAAGGAUCAAUAAUUAGACACCUUGCUGAACUUGGUCCUGUUGUGUGGGUGGAGUCCUGUCUCAUGCAAACGAGACUGUGUUGUCCCUGCCACCUCUUCUGUAAGGCUAAUCCAGAGUAUAGCUUUUGUUACCAUGACGGCCGGGGGCGAAGCUUGGGGGUGGCCACUUGUUGAGCCCGUAGUCUUUAAAAAAAAAAAAAGAAACUGGUCGAAUCACUUCCUUCUGGCUCGGGUAAAUGGUGGAGCCCUGUAGCAGGUGACCGGGACAAAGCACCCGUAGCAACUUCAAAUGUCUACAAUGUCUUUUGUUUUACACAAGAUGUCUUCAAGAAUCGCCAAAGAUGACAAUGUCCCAUGUUUAGGCUUCUAUUGUGUUUUCAUAUAUCAUAAAAAUGACAUACAUGUAUUUAACUUUUGUCUGAAGACACCAGCCAUAAAAAACAAAAUAAAAAACACAAUUUUACUAAGUUCGGGUUUAAACUAUCAUGUCAUCAACCCAUAAUUAUGCACAUUUUUGCAGCAUACACAGGAAGUCUGUGUAACCUGUUUUCCGGAUUCGGUCAAGUGAUGCUUUCAACGUAAUAGAGCGGGCACAGCAAGGUGACACGGUGGAUAGCAUGUCUGUUUCACAGAUUUUGAGGUUUGGGGUUCAAAUCUCACUGGUUGCAUGUCCUCCCCUUGCUUGUGUGCUUGCUUGUUUUCUCCAGGGUAUUUGGGUGUCCUCCCACAGCCCCCCGAAGCAUGCUUCUGUGGGUAUUGUUUGUCUAGAUAUGCUGACGACCAGUCCAGGGUGCACGUUACCCAAGCACCUCAGACCCGCUGCACACCGAGCAACACGGCCGAAUGCGACUGAACAGUCGUGCAGUGUACGGUGUUGUGCAAGUAGUUUUCUUGAGUGGCUACGAUUCAAAACUUACAUCGCAGGUGAACGUGGUCGGAAUGUCGCAGAUGUAACAGCCAAUGAAAAAUGCCGUGUGGUAUCGCAUGAGUUUUGAUCCAGCCGGCUGCCUGUGGCUAAAAAGCAAAGUGUGGGGCAUCUCUCUGUUUCCGUGUUUUCUGGAAAUGACUCUCUUCAGGUGUCUGAUUGGCUACCAGUGGCAUUGCCAUAGACAGUUUCUUUAAAAGGGACAUAUGGAAAGUUUACUUUUUCAUUGUAUACAAAUAGUUUUGUGUCUCUGGAGUGGCUGCCCAGCCAUCCAGUCAUCAAGUCUAUGUUUUGUCAUUUGCCUAUUUCUGAAAAUGUGUCUGUGAGUGAGCCGUUCUGUACUUGUUGUUACAUAACAGUGCGACUACUUUACAUAAUUAACCCCUCCCACACCAAAUUUCUCAUCCCAGGAGAUGGUCAGCGAGGCUGGGCGAAGAGAGACUAGAGCUAUUUUCAAGAGACUCAAAAAAAUCUCAUGUUGGUUUGACAGCAUGUAUGCAGUAUCCAUAGCCUUUUCCUGCGAGACAAACAACACGACUGCCUUUAACCUUUCAACCCGGGACAGUAGCUUACCCGCUGUGUUCAUCAUCCAAAGUAAAUGACACAGCGCUACUACCAUCAUCAAGACUGUACUCGCUAAUCACAUUUGACAGUGUGUGACCCACUCUCGCCAGCUUGCAACAUGCUGGAACAAACACUUUCUCACCGCUGCACCGGAGGCCCGCUUGUAAACGUUUCUGCUAUGAAUAAUUCACAUGCACUCAGUUGAACUGAUCAAGGUGGGAUUGUAUUAUAUUGUGUACGUGUGCUUGUAAUUCCUGGUCUGCUGAGUGGGAAAAAGAAUAAAGUGGUUUGUACUGGAUUGGAUUUGACAGAUGCUCUUUCCAGGACAUGAUUGAAGUCUCUCUAAAGUAAUGCAGACCCAACAAUGAGAUGUGGAGGACUAGGAUUGUGUUGAGGAGUGUGUACGUGUGUGUGCGCAGUUUUGUGCCCAUUA